GGGCCCAUAGCUCAGCGGAAGAGCAGGAGACUCAUAAUCUCUUGGUCGAAGGUUCGAACCCUCCUGGGCCCA
rnacentral:tRNA from 1 species